UAAACCGUGGCUCAGUUCAGAUCGUAGGCUGCAACUCGCCUACGUGAAGGAGGAAUCGCUAGUAAUCGCAGGUCAGCAUACUGCGGUGAAUACGUUCCCGGGCCUUGUACACACCGCCCGUCACACCAUGGAAGUUGGCCACGCCCGAAGCCGUUACUCCAACCCUUGUGGAGGAGGACGUCGAAGGUGGGGCUGAUGACUGGGGUGAAGUCGUAACAAGGUAGCCGUACCGGAAGGUGCGGCUGGAUCACCUCCUAA
rnacentral:rRNA from 1 species